rnacentral:sRNA from 1 species
AAACACUAAAACCUAAACUCUACACCAUAAAUCCCAAAACCUAAAAUCUUACCCCUAAACCCGAAAACCCUAAACCCUAAACCCUAAACCCUAAACCAUAAACCCUAAACCAUAAACUCUUAACCCUAAACCCUUAAACCUAAACCCUAAACUCUUAAACCUAAACCCUAAACCCUAAACCAUAGAUCCCAAACUUUAAAACCUAUGUCCUCCUUUAGGCUUCCAGAAUCCGAUUGCGGUUCUAGUUUUUAUGCUCAAUGAUACACAAAGCAUCUAGUCAUAUUUGACUACAAAUCCGCUAACCAAGCUUAUUCUUGAUUAUCAAAGUUUGAUAGUGAAGCCGAAUUCUUAUGAGUUUUUGGUUUUGAACAGUUUAACAAGGAAGCACUACUUUACUUUUCGGGAUCUGGUUGAGGUUCUAGUUUUAUAUACAAUCAUACACAUAACAUCUAGUCAUAUUUAACUCUGAAACGCUAACCUAGAUUCUUUUUGCUUCAUAAAGUA